rnacentral:lncRNA from 1 species
UGGUGUGCUGCAAUUCAUGGGGUCGCAAAGAGUCGGACACAACUGAGUGAUGAACUGAACUGAAACCCUCCUUAGGCUCAUAAUCAGAUUUGAUCCUAAGCAAAAUGUGAAAGACAUUUAGUUUAAACAUAGGAUAGUUUUAGUCCUUUCUAGGAUCUCAAGGGGUUUACUGGAUAACCCAAUUACGUUUUGGGCUUGCCUGGUGGCUCAGUGGUAAGAAUGCACUUAACAGUGCAAGAGAAGCAGUUUCAUCCCUGGGUUGGGAAGAUCCCCUGGAGAAGGAAGACAACCGACUCUAGUGUUCUUGCCUGGAGAAUCCCAGAGAUAGAGGAGCCUGGCAGGCUGCAGUCUGUGGAGUGUCAAAAGAGUUGGGCACCGCUGAGCACACGGGCACAUGCACUUCCAUAGUAGGACAGGGGUCAUCCUUGAGGGAAGAAAGAAAGCAUCUGAAUCACAACUUUAUCAGGAAAUGAGUUCCUUCUGCAGUCCGAUAUUGACUUCAUCAUAUUGGAUUGGUUCCAUGCUAUCAAAAAUGCAAUUGACAGAUUGCCAAAGGAUCCAAGUAGUCAUUCAAGAAACCUGGAAUUAUUUAAAAUCCAGAGAUCUUCCAGUACUGAACUACUAAGUCACUAUGAUAGUGAUAUAAAAGAACAGAAACCAGAGCACAGAAAAUCUUUAAGUAAGUAUUUUUUUUUUGACUAGCUCAUUUUAACUUUGUUUAAACUUAGUGCUUAUGAAAUGUAGAUAUAGUGAAAUGAGAUUUGAACCAAACUGAUGCUACUCAUGGAUGAUUCAUAGCCAUUUCUUUAGCCAGGAAUUCACGCACUCGAGGACAGUCUGAGUGCUUUGCUCACAUCAUUGUUGGUAAUACCUUUUGAGAAAAUAAUUAUUUCAAGGUCAUGGUCUCUGCUUACAGCAAACUUCUGAAUCUAAGUAAUAACCAUGGCGUUCAGAUUGGUGAUUGAUUUCGAGAGUGGGAAAUGUCAAGCGUCUCCAAACCUUGGUAUGCUGACUAUUUGAUUUUCAUACAUUAAAAUAUAUAUGAGUGACCUGACGUAAACCAACAGGCUAUGCAACUUUCCAUUUGUUUCAUCCACCAGAAAGAUUUAGAAAUGUGUAACGUGGACUAGAUAUCCUCCAAGGUCACAUCUAGGUCUGAUUUUCUAAAAAAAAAAAAA